rnacentral:rRNA from 1 species
UACGAAGGGGGCUAGCGUUGUUCGGAAUCACUGGGCGUAAAGCGCACGUAGGCGGAUCCUUAAGUCAGGGGUGAAAUCCCGAGGCUCAACCUCGGAACUGCCUUUGAUACUGGGGAUCUUGAGUCCGGGAGAGGUGAGUGGAAUUGCGAGUGUAGAGGUGAAAUUCGUAGAUAUUCGCAAGAACACCAGUGGCGAAGGCGGCUCACUGGCCCGGUACUGACGCUGAGGAGCGAAAGCGUGGGGAGCAAACAGG